GACGAACGCUGGCGGCGUGCUUAACACAUGCAAGUCGAACGGAAAGGCCCUGCUUUCGUGGGGUGCUCGAGUGGCGAACGGGUGAGUAACACGUGAGUAACCUGCCCUUGACUUUGGGAUAACUUCAGGAAACUGGGGCUAAUACCGGAUAGGAGCUCCUGCUGCAUGGUGGGGGUUGGAAAGUUUCGGCGGUUGGGGAUGGACUCGCGGCUUAUCAGCUUGUUGGUGGGGUAGUGGCUUACCAAGGCUUUGACGGGUAGCCGGCCUGAGAGGGUGACCGGCCACAUUGGGACUGAGAUACGGCCCAGACUCCUUCGGGAGGCAGCAGUGGGGAAUAUUGCACAAUGGGCGGAAGCCUGAUGCAGCAACGCCGCGUGCGGGAUGACGGCCUUCGGGUUGUAAACCGCUUUCGCCUGUGACGAAGCGUGAGUGACGGUAAUGGGUAAAGAAGCACCGGCUAACUACGU
rnacentral:rRNA from 1 species